rnacentral:rRNA from 1 species
GAACGCUAGCUACAGGCUUAACACAUGCAAGUCGAGGGGCAUCAGGAAGAAAGCUUGCUUUCUUUGCUGGCGACCGGCGCACGGGUGAGUAACACGUAUCCAACCUGCCCUUUACUCGGGGAUAGCCUUUCGAAAGAAAGAUUAAUACCCGAUAGUAUAAUCAUUCCGCAUGGUCUGAUUAUUAAAGGAUUCCGGUAAAGGAUGGGGAUGCGUUCCAUUAGGUUGUUGGUGAGGUAACGGCUCACCAAGCCUUCGAUGGAUAGGGGUUCUGAGAGGAAGGUCCCCCACAUUGGAACUGAGACACGGUCCAAACUCCUACGGGAGGCAGCAGUGAGGAAUAUUGGUCAAUGGGCGCGAGCCUGAACCAGCCAAGUAGCGUGAAGGAUGACUGCCCUAUGGGUUGUAAACUUCUUUUAUAUUAGAAUAAAGUGCAGUAUGUAUACUGUUUUGUAUGUAUAAUAUGAAUAAGGAUCGGCUAACUCCGUGCCAGCAGCCGCGGUAAUACGGAGGAUCCGAGCGUUAUCCGGAUUUAUUGGGUUUAAAGGGAGCGUAGGUGGACUGGUAAGUCAGUUGUGAAAGUUUGCGGCUCAACCGUAAAAUUGCAGUUGAUACUGUCAGUCUUGAGUACAGUAGAGGUGGGCGGAAUUCGUGGUGUAGCGGUGAAAUGCUUAGAUAUCACGAAGAACUCCGAUUGCGAAGGCAGCUCACUGGACUGCAACUGACACUGAUGCUCGAAAGUGUGGGUAUCAAACAGGAUUAGAUACCCUGGUAGUCCACACAGUAAACGAUGAAUACUCGCUGUUUGCGAUAUACAGUAAGCGGCCAAGCGAAAGCAUUAAGUAUUCCACCUGGGGG